ACCUUCGGAGCACCUCACAUGUACUCCUCGCCGUCUUCAUCCUCGCCCUCGGCUGAUUCCGCACCCACCUCUUCAUAAUCCUUCUCGAGUGCAGCAAGAUCCUCGCGAGCCUCGGAGAACUCACCUUCCUCCAUACCCUCACCAACAUACCAGUGCACGAAAGCGCGCUUGGAAUACAUGAGGUCAAAUUUGUGGUCAAUGCGAGAGAACACCUCAGCAACACUGGUGGAGUUGGAGAUCAUGCACACAGCCCUCUGGACCUUGGCAAGAUCACCACCAGGAACAACUGUGGGUGGCUGGUAGUUGAUACCGCACUUGAAUCCAGUGGGGCACCAGUCAACAAACU
rnacentral:lncRNA from 1 species